AAAUCCCAAAAUGUUCCUGAAAUGGGGUUACUUCUGUCCCAAUUGAGACAGACGUUUCAAAUUCCAAAUAAGAGGUAGUAGGGUACAACAGCACAGAAGGUACUUUAAGGAAGCUUGAGUCCUCAGAUGCAGAAGAAUUUUUUUCCAAACUGGAAUCAGAAUCCAGAAAAGGCUGAUAGGAAAUACCAACAAUGUUGACAUUCCCAGUUUCAAUGGGCACAGGAGAACCCUCAUUCAUUAAAUCAGGAAUAUCCAACUUGCUCAGCAUCCCAACUCCAGAAACAAAGUUCACAAUCUACUGAAGAGCACAGUAAGCAUGACCUUUAAAAAGCUAUACGGUAAAUGUCAUGAGGGGAGAAGUACUGCACACAUGGGAGCCCAGAGCACGAGCAACUAGUCCAGACUUGGUAGAAGUGAGAGCACAGAAGGGUUUUCUAUAAACAUACUGCCUAAGACUGUAAAUGAAAACGAGACAGCACCUUGAGGACAAAAUGCACUUCAGUCAAAAUGAACGUUUUUGGAUCUGAUUUUACAACUAUGUAAAUUAAAAAGGUUCAGACCAGCUGAUAUGAGAUCUCUGUCAGAUCUAAAAUCCCACAUUGCUGUGUUCUACAACAGAAGAAUGAGUGGGAAAAAAAACAGGUAGACCAACCUUGAGGCUUUUCUGGUAAAAGAUGAGAAAGACUAUGGCCAAGAAACCAACUUAGACCAAAACUAGUAUGAGGGCAUUAUAACAAAGAGGCAGAAAUGUCUACCGUCCCUUAUUUCAAAAUUACUGAGGCUCGCUCUGGGCCUGCCCUCUAUUCCCUCAGAUUCCACCUCUCAGCCCUCCUUUAGGCCCUUAAAUACAGCAAGGACUUCAUCCUCACACCCUCCCAAAGGGUCUGCUCAAGCCAUGGGAUCUACAUUACCCUUGGGAUAUUUUUCUUAGAAACACAGCCUCACGUGACAAGUUCUAUAAUUUUCUUUGCUCAAAGCUAUACUGCAGAUACAUUAUGGAUUAAAUUGACUUUCGUGCACUGGCCUGGAGUCCCAUCCGGCAGGUCCAAUGCUAUGGGGAAAAAGACAGAGUUCCACACCAAUGAUUUCCAAACCACCAUCUGGAAAACUGUCCAUUCACAAAUGGUGUCUGCCAGCAGAAGAGUGGUACUUGUAUUUUUUUUAAUGGCUAUUAACGGAAUAUAAAACAGGUGGUUAUGGCACUAUUUCUGGGCUUCAAAUUAAAAGGUAACUAAAAGCUGCAAUUUUAAGGCACUCAAACAGUAUGUAUUUUAGCCCAAACAUCUGGCAGUUGAAUGAUUUCAAAACUCUAGAGAAAAAUCAGGAGGAGAGAGGAAAGGUAGGCAUGAUUAUGAGGCUCUGUUGCUUCACAGUCUGAGACUUCUGACACUCCUUUUCUCUAUAAGGUCAGUCCUCUCCUAUAAUUUAUGUAUCUACCUUGAGGCUGACUUAUUUCCUGUUCCCCAACUCACGCCCCCAAAAUAAGACCCAUAAUUACAGUUAAAUCACAGGCUGCAGAGUGAGAAUCUCAGUACGUCUGAGGUGUGCCUGAGCUGUCUACAGUACAUGUGUUGUGAAUGACUGUUCCAUUCUCCCCAAGUUCUCCGUCCACCUCAUAACCUUCAGAUUCUGAAUGUUUGACUCACCCCCACAAGAUUCAAUACCCUGAAUCCCUCGCUGUGAUGUGAACUCACAACAGUAUUUUAGCUGCUUUCUAAAAUGGAGCAUUCAUUCACAUAUCAUUCAACAAAUUGUCCUGAAGACAGCGCACUGGAGACCCAAGACUGUGCCCUCACAGAGCUCCCCAGAAUCUGACCUUGGCUGACCUCCCCCCCAACUGAAAUCCUUCCUCCUCUGUAAAUUCUUCCAGACACAGAUAAACAGAUAAUAUAUGUGUGGAUAUAAAAACACAUUUACACACACAUAUAAACACAUGCCCAGUGAUACUUUCCAAAAGUAAACUCAUCAUUUCAUUUCAACUCCUUACUAUGAACUAACACCAUGUUACUAACACCCACUCCUCCUCUAAUUCUGUGUCUCUGUCCACACUGGCAUCUGUGCCACAUGAUUGUGCCCCAGGACCUUCUAAGUGAAUGUUCCUUCUGCCCAGAAAGUUCUUUCCUCAGACUUGCUCAUGCCCAACUCCCGGAUAUCAUCUGGGUCUUUGCUCAAAUGCUACCCAAUAGAGACACCUUUCAUAUCCACCCUACCUAGACUCACCACUUCCAUUAUGGUGAGUCCCUCCCCAUUUUAUUUUUACUUCAAAGCAUAUUAUAUAUUAAUCUAUAUAUUUUCUGCCCUCCCCAUUAGAAUACAACCCUAUGUAAGUAGAGACACAUUUAGACAUGCAAACAAGAUUCUGAAAAGUGAUGACACGACUAAGUUGUUCUAAUAAUUAUAUUUUAAAUUAUUUUUACAACAUAUAAAUAUACGCAUUAUUGUCAGAAAUGUUAGAGCACUAUUGUUAAGUGAAAAAAAUUCAAGUUCCAAACUCUUGAAGAAGAACUUUUACUUUUAUAAAAAUAUUUAGACAUGAAGACAUAUUUAGACACACCCAUAGGGAAUCAUUUGAAAGAAUGAUAUAUGUUUCUGAGUGGGUAGGGUUAUGAGUGUGCUUUUGCUUUUUCGUCCUCUUAUAAUUUUAUACCUGUUUUGUAAAAGCAAAUAUUACUAUCAAAAAGAGAAAAAAUACAAAGUAGCAUAGUUGAUGAAAAAGAAAGCAAAAACAAGUGAGUGCAAAAAAUGCAAGCAAUUAAAUAACAAAAUACGAAUACUGCAAAUAUUACCUAAUGUUAAUUCCUUUGCAUCAUAAUAUAUGCAACAUUGCCAAAAAUUUUUUAUUUGCCUACUUAGAACAAUGAAACACCAUAAUUACAGUUCACAUUUUCAGCUUUUACUGAUAAAAAGCACAAUGCCAUCCUUCCAUCCUGUGAAUGCUCCUUUGUGCUUUGACAAGACAAUAAAAGGCAAGAGAGUUUACAUCUCACCUAAUUUGUCCCCAGUUAUUAAAACAUCAAAUUCAAAACAUUUCAUUCUUUGUCAUAAGAAGCAUAGUAGUUACAAGA
rnacentral:lncRNA from 1 species